GGCGAGAGGUGCUGCCGCUGUCCCAAGAUGGCGGCGCCGUGAGGGGGAGCGGGCUGGACAGGGAGGGCUAUUGUUGAAGCUUUAUUGUUCCCGCUGCAGCCGCCGCCCGCCGUGUCCGCCGCGCCGUGCCCAGUAAAGCCACCGUAGGCAGCACCAUGCAGAAGAACAGCUGGGGUCCUGCCUGCCUGUGGACAGGAAGUCCUGUUUCCCACAAAAGCUGAGCUCCAGAGGAGUUGGUGCCCUCAAGAAGUGAGAUGUCAGCUCAGCCUACACCCAUCGUCUGCUUAUGAUGUGAUUUGGUACAAGGUGGUCUGAACAGGUCUUCAUGCCCUACUUCCUGUUGCGACAUGCGUCCGACAGCCGGUGAUCUCUCUGACCCGGCUGGCAGCGCAGUGGCUGGAGAUGGGCCGCAACACGUGGUGGAGAAUGUGGGCACCCAUCGUGGGGCAUUGAAGAGUGCCAACCCCCCAGCAAAUGUGAGGUAUUGAGGACAUCUCAGAGAGACUAACAGUGUGAGGCCCUAGAACACUGUGGGCUUUGGUACUCAGGAGUGAGGUUUUGCGAGGAUCAGCAGAGAAGAGUGGGGAUGUAAGCUUUCAAUUUUAAGUCUUGCUUUCAUUUAAAAGCUGCCAAAGAAGACCCUAAAACAAUUACAUCAACACUUUAAGAUCAAAAUAAUCAACCCCCACUCCCCUCUAGAAUUUUUCUUAAAUUUAAUUGAUUUCUUUUGAGAUGCAUUCAUUGUGUUGUUGUUUUGUUAUGUUGUCAGGAUGCUAAGAGAUUAUUUUUCAUUUCAAUAAAGUAAUAAUUUAAAUUUUCAUUUUGAUUGUGCAAUAUUUAACAGACUUCCUUUCCCUGUUUUCGCAUUCUGCCCCCCCAUGUCCCUGAACCCACUGACCCUGAGAACAGAAUGGGAGAUGGAAUCUCCCAUCUUCCCUCCUUCUCUGUCCCCUACCCAGGACAGCACUGGCCAUGCUGCCCUGGAUUGUACCCUAACCACUUUCUGUAAGCCGUCAACCCCACCCCCACUUUCCUAUUGGCAGUUCUUGAUUUUUGUUAUAAUUCAUGUUGCAGACAUUGCCGUUAUUUCCGGUUUAUUUACGUGGGUGACCCUUGGAGUUAGGCCAGUUGACCCGUUUGUUUAUUUAUUUAACUUUGCAGCAUGAACCCUGUUUAGUUGUAAACUUUAUUUACAGCAUUCUACGUAUUUUUGUUCUCAAGUUUAGUUACAUUGAUUGUAAAGUGUAUUAAGUAGAGUGAAAAUAAGACUGUUAUACUUUUUAUUUUAAAUGAAAGAA